CGGCCUUCCUGGCCUCAUUCGGGAAGUUGAUUUCAAAGGAGACGGAUCGCCAGGAAAUGAUGAUGGAGUUUGUGAAAAUUUAUUAUUACACGGCAAGGUUUGCCCAAGUUUUUGAUGAUGGGUCCUGAAUACAAUGUAUAUGAAGUCUGCAAUGAUGCCAAUUACAAUGGAAAAUUCCUUUCACCUGGGCCUCCAAUCUUCAAGCAAGAAGUGAAAUGAGUCCAUCUCAGGCUGUUGGAAUUUAACCCAGUUCACAUGGUUGGUGUGACGCUUUCACAGAAAAUCGUGUCUUGGCGCAUCUCCAUGAAUCGUGUCCCACGCAUCUCACCGAUCGGAGAUGCGCUAUUACCGAGGGAGUAACAAGAAACCUGGUUGCCUGGGCUCCGAGAAUCACCAGCUUGAUUGACUUUUACAUUAAUAUCGGUUGUUGAAAGUGAUGGAUUUUGAAUAUUGUUGGUUUUGAUUUCUAAAUCCAAUUGUUAUGUCCUUCUUAUGGCCAUUUUCUGUAUGAAUGGUUGUGAUGUGUAUCUGACCCAUUGUGCCUCUCCCGUGCCAGCUGGGGUAAAGUUAAGGUGGCCGGUUUGCUGAUACGCUGACCUGCCAUGCACAUGCCUGCAAGACUGCCGUGCAGCUGCUGCUACCCAUGUUCUGGGGGUAACACUUUUCUUCAUGUCAGUAUGUUAUGAUAUAUGAUCAUACGUCUGCUAUCGUGCUUUUUGUAAUGGAUAUGUUUAAACUCAAAAUAUGGAGAUUUAUUUGGAUUAAGAUAUCACUCGUCCCUGAUCGCUCUUCAUUCUAAUCGCUUGACGUUGCCAUUGCAUGCAACCAUAGCUAUCUAAGGGUCGUUCUGGCUUAGUUCUGUGCGCAAUUUGUCCCUUAGCUUCAUUUUUUUCUGAAUUACUUACAUGCGAGCCAAAUGUUUUACGGAGUCCACGAAUUUUUCUCGAAAAAUUCCCUCAACUUUCACCAUGUCCCGAGAUGGCUUGCCUCGCUUCUCUUUAGCACCCAGCUCCUCGCCCUGUUGGCUGCUGGAGUUGCUUCAUGCCUUGUGCCGUCUUCUGGAUGUAGACUCGAGGUUAUGCUAUGACGCCAGAUAUGCUGUCGUUGUAAGGUGGUAACUUUUAAAGAGGUGAUUUUUUUUGUCGUGAUAAAUGCAUAUUUUAGAAAGUAAUAUUGUUCUUUGUCCCUAUAAGUCAUUAAAGAUCCGAUGGCCUUGUUUGGCCAUGUUGAUUUUGUUAAUUCCUUUGAUAAAAACGUCGUGCAAUUAUAUUUGGCUUUUUCCGCCUCUCGUGUCAAGUAUUUUUUUGUGAGCUUUUUUCAAAAUAUAUGAAAAUUUUCGUAUUCAUCUUGUUGAUUAAAUCCCUAACAGGCGGCAGCUGUGCCAUGGUCAAUUAGAUUUCUGCCCCCUGCGGCGUCCAUCCACACUCCACCUUAAAGCAUAACAUCUCCACCAUUGCUGUGCCAUACCAAGCAAAACGAACUUCCUUCCGCCUAGUCCGAACCAGCAUCUUUUCGAGAAUAUCGAAACAGCCACCGUGAUGGGUUUGCUUAGGAGCCUGAAGAAUAUUCGAUAAAAAUGCUAAUUAAUUUCUCGACCGAAUUGAGUCCGCUUGAUCAAAUCUAGAAAUCUUUCAGAAAUGGAUCUUUACUCAUCCGCAGGCAAUUCUGCUGUUGACGUUUGAGAUCUUGGGGAAAGAAUGUCGAGAAAGAACUACGUAUCACGAGCAUCAGUCUUCUUAUUCGACAGCGCAACAUUUUCAUCUGCAGUUAAAGGGAGAAUCUAUUUAUGCUAAAACUUCUGCUAAUUCAAAGUUUCUUGUCACUGUCAGCGAAUACUUGAUAUGUGGUAAAGUUACGUACUUGGGAAAAUAUAAAAAAAAAAGAAUUGACUUAGUUGUCCGUCGAUAUUACUGUAUCUCUUUCAACAGGUGUUUGGCUGAGCUACAGACAGCCUGUAAUUAUCCUGCUGCUACUUCAGCUGACAGCUAUUGUAUUAUCGAGUAACCGUUGACCACCAGUCACGUUAUCAAGCGGUGCAGAUAAGUAAUCUGGUAGCGCUAGUGGUGUUACCUGCAACUAGUCUUUUUCCCCCAUGACCAUAAAUCGAAAAUAUUGGAAAAUUUGAAAUGUUCUCAAUUUAAAUGUGAUCUCAACUGUUUUCGGUAGCGGCAAUGUAUAAACAAGAAUUAUUUGAUUCAUAAACGUCACCGUAUCGACACUAAUUUGAUCAUUUGGAUAUAUUUCACAAAACCUUGGCUUGAGCACGAAUUAUUGAAAUUUCUCAAGUUUCAAAAGGAAGGAAGGCAACAAAAACGCCAUGAGCGAAUCGCAAACCGUGCCAACGGAUACCAGGUCCAGGUACCCAUAAUAAUUUGCUCAUGCUUUUUUGUGCAUAUGUUGACUUUCGAAAUUUUGCUGUUCAAUGGGAUUUAAUUUGAAAUGAAUACCUGCUUUCACCAUUUUGCACAGAGCUCCAAGUUGCGUUCAUCAUCUUACUGCAAUUGACCCCAAAUUCGUUGUCGAAAUUUUAAAGUCCGUCAUAAAAGUAGAAGUACCCAGCAUAUGGUUUGGAAACUGAAGUUUGUGACAUGGUGAGGCCAAAUGUUUGUCUUCUCCGGAACUUCACGAUUCAUCCCCAAUCGAAAAAUUCAGCACGGUUUGUAAUUCCCGAACGCGAGGAGCAACACAGCACAUCACUAUUCGGUUUGAUGUUGAUUUCAGGUUUGGAUAAAAUGUCUGAAGACGUCAGUCGUGCAGUUAUACUGAAGAACGUAAGCGAUAUGUAGACAAUUCCAGUCGUGUAUGCACGAGUUCAGGAGCGUUUCGUUAUUACUAUAAGUAUCCCUCGGCAGGAUUGCGAUGGCCUACAGACAUGCUGUCAAGAGCGGUCCCUAUCCUGUGCUUCGGGUGGUAAUUGUAUUGAAAAAAGUACCCGUUGAUUUAUAGUGCCGAAUUGGCCUUAUUUCAGGCCGCGAAAUAGCGAUAGAAAGUUGAUUACUUACUGCAAAGCUUCCUACGAAAAUUCUUGCCAUUCAUCUGCGUUCCUAAUUGAUAUUAUUUACAAACCCGUUGAUGGUGCCGUAUUUUUGUUAAGGCAUAGAUUUUUGUUUUGUGUAUUACUCAGAAUAUUGUCAUUUUUUAAAUCUGCCCUUUUUUAGUUCGCUAGAAUAUUUACUCGGGUCGUGCUCUGUUCCGAGUUUGGACUCAUGAGGAAAAUUUGUGUGGUUCAUUUAUUUAUCGACAGGCAGCCUGCGCAUCAUCACUUGUGGAGUCCAGUGCGAGCGAGCCUUGCUAUCGGAUUUGGGACGACGAUAAUAUCUACUUCGCUCGAGAAAUUGCAGGAUUCGGAGUCUAGUUCUACCAACUGUAGAGCGGAGCGACAGCUGCAUCAAGCAACGCUUGCUGCAGUUUGUAAACACAGGCCUUCCCUCCAGCACAUGGUCAGCAGAUAACAGUUGUGAAAAUUCUCGGAACUGGAUGCUCGUCGUCCGUCAGAAUUAUCUUGAACUUAACCCUCUACCGCCUGACAUGAGUAACCGGAGCAAUAUUGUCACACAAGCUUAUCCACAAAGGAUACAUCGCUAGUGAGCGCAAAAUGACUCACUAAUGGUUGCGCCACGUACGACAACUUCAAAAUGGUCUCUGUUGCGUAUAAACGUCAUCAGGUUGCUACUCGCAAUAGUUUACAUAUAAUUUAAGUUGCAGGUUAUAUUCCUGGAGUGCCACACGGCGGUAGAGGGUUAACUAGUGACACACCUUCACUCUCUUGGUGGGUUCAAUUGCCAUGCGCUCAUUCGCACCGUCCUUGUAGUGGAGCGUAAGAUAUUUGCUGCUCAACUAUACUCAUUUUAAUGGUGCUGGAUUUUGGUUUGUCAAGAAAUACGUUUUCUAAUGCUCAAGUUCCCUAUUUUCGCCCCCCUUCCUAAGUUAUUCUAAGAGAUGAGGAAUGAAGCUGGAGUCACUAAACGCUACUAUCGACACGGGUUCAACUUGCUCGAAAUAUGGUAUCUAUAGUUAUCAAGCCGGUGUCUAGAAUGAUAUAUGGCAUUAGUUGCAUCACUAUUUCAGAGUGCAGUUGUAGACUUGUAUGGAAACCAUUUAUGAUAGUACUUGAAUGAUGAAAAAUUCAAUGUGUGAUAUGUACGGUUGUUUGCCCUCCUUGUUUGUCUCUCAGAGCUGAUCGUGUGCUACAACGGACGUGAUGUACCUCCUGCAUUACCUUUCAUCUACAGCGUGGGCUUACGUGUGAAUUUCCCUUGAGCCAGAAGAGAAUUGAGCCACCAGUUCACCGAAGCGUAUGCAAAUUCAUCCAUGUACUACCGUCAGUUGUAUAGUCCCCGCUCCCUGUGGACGGAAGUUACUCCGCUCUUUAAUCUUUGUAAACUUCUUGUCGAGCGAAAUCGCAUAAUGCUACGGCUGCUGCUCGUAUGGUCGUGUUGUAUGCAUCUACUGUCGAUGAAAGCUAGUGCUCUGGAUCGCAGCUGCAACAUCCUUCCCAUCACUCUUCGAGACCUGAAUCGCUCCAAGUAUAGUUUGUUGUCAAUUGAAUUAAUGAAUUAUACAGGACCGUGCAUACAUUAUAACUUUGCUUGCAAACAUGACAUUGAUGGUUGCUUCUUGAUUUGCUGCGUAAUGUAGUGUAUCUGAGCGUGUUUACAUUUUUGACAGGCCUAAGGAAUAACCGAUAAGUUGCAGACCGCAUUGAUGAAGCGGUACAUCAUCUGCGCACUGCGUACUCUGCGAUUUUGCUCUUCGCUUGAGUUUGUCUUCACAAUGACAUGGCUUUUGGUUUACACUUCACUUGGUAUGCCUAUUUUUCAGUAGUUUUACUCUAGUUAGGAUUUAUUAAGGUUCUGUAGUCGAUUGGAGUAAUGUAAAAUUUGAUCUUGCUUUUUUAUUCCUCGGUGGUAACGGAUGGAACUGUGUCACAGUUCAAAUUUAUGAUCGAUAGAUUGUGAAUUAUGCACGUGUCCAUGCGCUGCUGCAGUUAAAAUACUCUUACUUAGGUUAGGCGAUAUUCUAGCGUUUUUUUUCCAGAAAUGCAGCACAGCGCUUCGAGGCAGAGUUCCGGACGGAAGUGUGCUGGAAUUGUGGCUUACAACAUGCGCUACUUGCACCAUCAAUUGAUCGAAUGCAGCUCGUCAUGAAGAACGUGAUGAGUAGAUUUAAUUGAUGAAAUAUCUGUAAUGUUUUUUGCGACUAUUUUCAUCGUAUUGACGUAAUGAGGGCUUCUAGAAACAAGUGCUUCUCUCAUUGUUGCUCAAAGAUUUCUUCUAGUUAGAAAGCUCAUCAAGUUACGAAAUUGCAUCGUUCGAAGUUUAAUAAAACACUAGUUCUUCCUACAAUUCCCUUUAUCCACAAUUUACUAUUUGCGUAGAUCCUGUGAUAUUUUUCAGGAGUUAAUGAAUGUUCGUGCAAAUCGAGCUCGACCAGCGUGCAUUGCCACAGUGUCUCCAGCUCUCGGCUGAACUUCGGAUUGACUGGUAUUUUAAACUUUUAGUGGAACGAAUUGAACAUCCUUGUGUUCAUAAGUAUUUUUUAAGAUGGUAUGUCUUUUGCUACUACCCAUGCACUUGAUUUAGUGGAAAGCAGUUUACGUUGAUGCCCAUUCAUUGGAAGUCUUAAAUUUACUAAUCUUGUUACGACGAACCUGUUGUUCAUGGUCAGACGUUAGUUCUUAAAAUGGUUUUUUCAAGUCGCCUGAAGUUCUGUGGAGCUUCAGCAAUGGCACAAUUAAGGCUGUCGUUCUAUCAAAGCUUUUUGACCAGCGUUCUUUUUUCCGUUAUUAACUUUUUAUAAUUGGUGUCGCUGGUUUCUAUUAAUGUGUUUUACAAUAUCGUUUCGUGAUAUGCUAUAUUGCGCCCGUUAAUUGCAUGGCGAGAUAGGAGACUGGUAAAAUCCCUCUAAACUAGCUUGCUGUGGUGCCUUCGAGACUGCGUGCUGACAGCCUGCCUGCAGCGCCCGCCGACUUCGCGUGCGGCUUGCGUAGUUGCUGCGCCUUCCAGCCUCCGGUGCGGACGUCUGGGUUGCUGCGCGCUCUCCUGCCUCCGGUGCGGACGUCUGGGUUGUGGUGCGCCUUCCAGACUCCGGUGUGGACGUCUGGGAUUGCUGCGUGCCUUCCAGACUCCGGUGCGGACGUCUGGGUUGCUGCGCGCCUUCCAGAGUCCGGUGCGGACAUCUGGGUUGCGGCGCGCCUUCCAGACUCCGGUGCGGACGUCUGGGUUGCGGCGCGCCUUCCAGACUCCGGUGCGGACGUCUGGGUUGCUGCGCGCCUUCCAGACUCCGGUGCGGACGUCUGGGUUGCGGCGCGCCUUCCAGACUACGGUGCGGACGUCUGGGUUGCUGCGCGCCUUCCAGAGUCC
rnacentral:lncRNA from 1 species